CUGCUCAACAGUUCAGGUUGUAAAUCUUCUUCCUGUUUGCAGACUUUUCUUUGUUGUUCUGAUAUCUUUAACUUUCAUCGCGGUAAUCCGUCUCAUCAAAGAUCUCUUCCUACAUGAACAGAAUUUUAACACAGGAUGUCUGAGUGGAAGUCCCUUGACCAUUUCUUGCUUCUGGAGCCUCCUUUAUGAGCAUUUAUAUCGUACCUCAUCUUCUGGAUGGAUGGGUAACAAGUUCUUCACCUACAAGGAAAGUUCAUCAGAAUUAAGCCUCAACAAUGGAGAUGAUCUUAGCAGAUCGAAGAGGAGCUCAAGAAACUAAGAUCAUGUUUGGAACAAGUGAAUUCUACAAGAAAAUUUUAGACUACAUUUUCAACUAUAGCUUGUGCUCCGACUGUAAGCAACAAAUAAAGAACAGAAAAGCCUUGUCUGAAAUAAAAGAAGGAAGAAAAGUACUGGCAUG